GAGGGGUGGUUUAAACAACGAGAACUGCUAACUCUCGCAUCCGAGCUUAAGCCCUCGGCCCCCUUA
rnacentral:tRNA from 1 species